UUCUCUAAAAAAUUAAUUUAUUCCAACUCAAACGUCCUCACUGUAUGUAUUUUACAGUUUAUUUACAAAAUUUAAAGUUUAACCUUAAUUAUACAAUUAAUUUAUCAAAGAGACUAGUCGAGUUAUCACUAGAUAACAAAUUCAACACCUUCCAUCAAUGUCUAUGUACCUACAAGCUGCUUACAAUAAUUUACACUUUAUUCAUUGCGCGUAGUAAAUUAAAAACAAAAAAUUAGUGCAAGGUAUAAAUUAGUUCACCUUUCCCACUCAUUGUAUAUUCUUCCAAAUUAGUAGUUGAUAAAAUUUAUAGAUUAACUACAUCAGUGUUAAGUUAAAAGUGAUAAAAUUGUUACUUUGUGUGAUUUAGGAAAAAUAAAUAUUUGUUAAAUAAACAAAAACAGAUUAAAUAUGAUGCAUAAAAGUUUCUUGGAAUUAUAAAACAUUCCUUAAAUUCCACAAAGCAAAACGUACAAUAAAUGUUAGUGUUAGAACACCUGUAAAGAAUUUAGAGAAGAAAAUUGUAAAAUGUAUAUUUUUAUGUGAGUAGAGUUUUAAUUAAAAUAAUGUAAGAAAUAUCGUUGUAAAUAAAUCUCAAUGGAAUGGAUAUAAGUAUGUAUU
rnacentral:lncRNA from 1 species